GGCCGGUUGGCCCAAUGGCAAGGCGUCUGACUACGACUAAGCGGUUCCCCGACUUAGCAUGUUAUCAGGAGAUUCUGGGUUCGACCCCCAGGCUGGUCA
rnacentral:tRNA from 1 species